rnacentral:rRNA from 1 species
AACAGGAUUAGAUACCCUGGUAGUCCAUGCCGUAAACGUUGGGCACUAGGUGUGGGGGACAUUCCACGUUUUCCGCGCCGUAGCUAACGCAUUAAGUGCCCCGCCUGGGGAGUACGGCCGCAAGGCUAAAACUCAAAGGAAUUGACGGGGGCCCGCACAAGCGGCGGAGCAUGCGGAUUAAUUCGAUGCAACGCGAAGAACCUUACCAAGGCUUGACAUGAACCGGAAACACCUGGAAACAGGUGCCCCGCUUGCGGUCGGUUUACAGGUGGUGCAUGGUUGUCGUCAGCUCGUGUCGUGAGAUGUUGGGUUAAGUCCCGCAACGAGCGCAACCCUCGUUCUAUGUUGCCAGCGCGUUAUGGCGGGGACUCAUAGGAGACUGCCGGGGUCAACUCGGAGGAAGGUGGGGACGACGUCAAAUCAUCAUGCCCCUUAUGUCUUGGGCUUCACGCAUGCUACAAUGGCCGGUACAAAGGGUUGCGAUACUGUGAGGUGGAGCUAAUCCCAAAAAGCCGGUCUCAGUUCGGAUUGGGGCCUGCAACUCGACCCCAUGAAGUCGGAGUCGCUAGUAAUCGCAGAUCGGCAACGCUGCGGUGAAUACGUUCCCGGGCCUUGUACACACCGCCCGUCAAGUCACGAAAGUUGGUAACACCCGAAGCCGGUGGCCUAACCCCUUGUGGGAGGGAGCUGUCGAAAGGUGGGACUGGCGAUUGGGGUGAAGUCGUAACAAGGUAACC